GGGUCAAUGGUGAGAACUCAUACUGUCUCGAGAGAUGAUGACUUAAAAUCAUGCUAAGUAGAAUUACACUGAGGCCC